rnacentral:sRNA from 1 species
CGAGAGAGAACGAGGGCACAUUAGUAAGGACGGUCGGGAUGUUACAAGUGGUAUCAGAGCUAAACUAAGACAAGUAUGGGAUCAAGAGGGCUCACACUGUCGGGGUGACAAUCUUGGUGUGCAAUGAGGAUGUUGCGUUUGGUUAGUGGGAUGAAUUGUAACACCACAGUCUCAGAAAUAUGGUACCGCACGCAUAUAUAUUUAAAAGAAUUGAUUUACCUACUUGUAUUACCAAACUGCUCUUAUCAUUUUGGCUAAACGCGCUGAAAGAAAUCCAUUGUUAAAGGUGCUUGGGCUGGAGUAAUUUUAGGAUGUGUGACCUUCCGACAAGUGAUUGUCGGAACCAUGCGAGUGAGGACAAAGCAUGGAGAAAGAUCAUGUGGUGAUUUGUAGAGUCGGUAAACAAAUAUUAAAGU